GACAGAGGGUGCAAACGUUGUUCGGAAUUACUGGGCGUAAAGCGUGUGUAGGCGGCCAUGUAAGUCAGGUGUGAAAGCCCCGGGCUCAACCCGGGAAGUGCACUUGAUACUGCGUGGCUUGAGUAUCGGAGAGGUUGGUGGAAUUCUCGGUGUAGAGGUGAAAUUCGUAGAUAUCGAGAGGAACACCGGUGGCGAAGGCGGCCAACUGGACGAAUACUGACGCUGAGGAGCGAAAGCCAGGGGAGCAAACGGG
rnacentral:rRNA from 1 species